CUGACCUUGUCGCACGUCGUCUUCUACGUGCUGCGCAUCGACAUGGUCGCCGCCAUGCCAAGAAGCGCGCAAGAAGGACUAGUGGUGAUCCUGGCGCUGGUCCCAGCAACGCUGCGGCACCUGCCGCACCGCCGCAGCAACCGCCAGCGCCACGUCAAGACCGAUGGGUGUGUCCUCCAUCGCCUUCACCGGAGCGGGUUGCAGAGCGGUUGCAUGAGCCCGAGACCCAGCAGCCACUCCGUCAGAUGCGGUACUGCCCCCUCCAUGGAUGGGGGUCGUGUCCUGCUCGCCAACCGCGGGCUCCUCCAACGGAUGUAG
rnacentral:misc_RNA from 1 species